UACGUAGGGUGCGAGCGUUGUCCGGAAUUAUUGGGCGUAAAGAGCUCGUAGGCGGUUCGUCGCGUCGGCUGUGAAAUCCCGAGGCUCAACCUCGGGUCUGCAGUCGAUACGGGCGGACUAGAGUUCGGCAGGGGAGACUGGAAUUCCUGGUGUAGCGGUGAAAUGCGCAGAUAUCAGGAGGAACACCGGUGGCGAAGGCGGGUCUCUGGGCCGAUACUGACGCUGAGGAGCGAAAGCGUGGGGAGCGAACAGG
rnacentral:rRNA from 1 species